ACGGGUGAGUAACGCGUGGAUGAUCUACCCUUGAGUUCGGGAUAACGGAACGAAAGAUCCGCUAAUACCGUAUAACAAUCCAUUUCAUCGUGGGUUCAAAGCAGGCCUCUUCGUGAAAGCUUGCGCUUGGGGAUGAGUCCGCGUCCCAUUAGCUUGUUGGCGGGGUAACGGCCCACCAAGGCAACGAUGGGUAGCUGGUCUGAGAGGAUGAUCAGCCACACUGGAACUGAAACACGGUCCAGACUCCUACGGGAGGCAGCAGUGGGGAAUAUUGCGCAAUGGGGGAAACCCUGACGCAGCGACGUCGUGUGAGGGAAGAAGGCCUUCGGGUCGUAAACCUCUGUCAGAAGGGAAGAACCGCCGGGAGUCGAAUAGCCUCUCGGCCUGACGGUACCUUCAAAGGAAGCGCCGGCUAACUCCGUGCCAGCAGCCGCGGUAAUACGGAGGGCGCAAGCGUUAAUCGGAAUUACUGGGCGUAAAGCGUGCGUAGGCUGUUUGAUAAGUCAGACGUGAAAUCCCUCGGCUCAACCGGGGAACUGCGUUUGAUACUGUUGGACUAGAGUCCUGGGAGAGGGUGGCGGAAU
rnacentral:rRNA from 1 species